CCUACGGGUGGCUGCAGUGGGGAAUAUUGGACAAUGGGCGAAAGCCUGAUCCAGCCAUGCCGCGUGUGUGAAGAAGGCCUUCGGGUUGUAAAGCACUUUCAGUGGGGAAGAAAGCCUUGGGGCUAAUACCCUCGAGGAAGGACAUCACCCACAGAAGAAGCACCGGCUAACUCCGUGUCAGCAGCCGCGGUAAUACGGAGGGUGCGAGCGUUAAUCGGAAUUACUGGGCGUAAAGCGCGCGUAGGCGGUCUGAUAAGCCGGUUGUGAAAGCCCCGGGCUCAACCUGGGAACGGCAUCCGGAACUGUCAGGCUAGAGUGCAGGAGAGGAAGGUAGAAUUCCCGGUGUAGCGGUGAAAUGCGUAGAGAUCGGGAGGAAUACCAGUGGCGAAGGCGGCCUUCUGGACUGACACUGACGCUGAGGUGCGAAAGCGUGGGUAGCAAACAGGAUUAGAUACCCUUGUAGUC
rnacentral:rRNA from 1 species